AACUGCGCCGUGUCUGGUGAGCGGAAACGCCCCAGGAAGUUUUGCAAUAAUAACUUUGACAACACGUAGCGCAGUUUC
rnacentral:ncRNA from 1 species